GACGAAGGUGGCGAGCGUUGUUCGGAAUCACUGGGCAUAAAGCGCACGUAGGCGGCGACGUAAGUUGGGUGUGAAAUCCCUCGGCCUAACCGAGGAACUGCGCCCAGUACUGCGUUGCUUGAGGAUCCAAGGGGUGCAUGGAAUUCCCGGUGGAGCGGUGAAAUGCGUUGAUAUCGGGAGGAACUCCGGCGGCGAAAGCGGUGCACUGGUGGAUUACUGACGCUGAGGUGCGAAAGCCAGGGGAGCAAACGGG
rnacentral:rRNA from 1 species